GAUCUCAAACUCCUGGGCUUAAGCAAUACAGCCGCGUUGGCCUCCCAAAGUGUUGGGAUUACAAGCAUGAGCUACCCCACCCAGCUCAUUUUACAUUUCCACUUGUUAAACUGAAAACUGGCCCGAGAAAGCUUCUGUACUGCCAUCCUUGCGUCCUUGCAGAUGAAUCGUAACCUAGCAUAGUAGGUAGGCAGACUGAAAACCUAACUUAGCAGUAGGCUUCUGUAACAACAGCUGUGUCUCAGCCAGUUCCUGCAGCCAGACUUCAACCACUCACAGGCCGCAAACUGUUCAAACUGUGUUCGGAGAAGGCGAAUUCAUCUGGCUGUUAACGUGCCUCACUUCUGCUUUCUGUGGCCACUUUCCCUUUUCUGUCCAUAAAUUUGCUUUGACCACACAGCAUCCCUAGAGUCUCCCUGAAUCUGCUGUGAUUCUGGGACCUGCACCAUUUGUGAAUUGUUUUUUUUUUCCUUGAUCAGCUAAACUCUGUUCAAUUCAAUUUGUUGGAAGUUUUUAACAUACCAAUGGUGCACCAAGGUUCCAAUUUCUCCACUUCCUCAUAAAUAAGUCAUUUUAAAUGGCUUUUCAGUAUUCCAAUAUUUGGAAGUAUUAAUGUUUCUACCAAUUUUCUAUUUUUGGACAUUGAGGUUGUUUCAUUUUUUUUUUCUUUUUUUGAGACAGAGUCUCGCUCCGUCACCCAGGCUGGAGUGCAGUGGCCUGAUCCCGGCCCACUGCAACCUCCACCUCCCUCCUCAGCCUCCUGAGUAGCUGGGAUUACAGGUGCAU
rnacentral:lncRNA from 1 species